ensembl:piRNA 21ur-1527 ncRNA
UAUCCUUCUGUAUUACAUCCU